rnacentral:rRNA from 1 species
GAUGAACGCUGGCGGCGUGCCUAAUACAUGCAAGUCGAGCGAACAGAUAAGGAGCUUGCUCCUUUGACGUUAGCGGCGGACGGGUGAGUAACACGUGGGUAACCUACCUAUAAGACUGGAAUAACUCCGGGAAACCGGGGCUAAUGCCGGAUAACAUUUAGAACCGCAUGGUUCUAAAGUGAAAGAUGGUUUUGCUAUCACUUAUAGAUGGACCCGCGCCGUAUUAGCUAGUUGGUAAGGUAAUGGCUUACCAAGGCAACGAUACGUAGCCGACCUGAGAGGGUGAUCGGCCACACUGGAACUGAGACACGGUCCAGACUCCUACGGGAGGCAGCAGUAGGGAAUCUUCCGCAAUGGGCGAAAGCCUGACGGAGCAACGCCGCGUGAGUGAUGAAGGGUUUCGGCUCGUAAAACUCUGUUAUUAGGGAAGAACAAACGUGUAAGUAACUGUGCACGUCUUGACGGUACCUAAUCAGAAAGCCACGGCUAACUACGUGCCAGCAGCCGCGGUAACAC